CCUACGGGAGGCAGCAGUGGGGAAUUUUGGACAAUGGGGGCAACCCUGAUCCAGCAAUGCCGCGUGAGUGAAGAAGGCCUUCGGGUUGUAAAGCUCUUUUGUCAGGGAAGAAACAGCAGCUCUAACACAGCUGUGAAUGACGGUACCUGAAGAAUAAGCACCGGCUAACUACGUGCCAGCAGCCGCGGUAAUACGUAGGGUGCAAGCGUUAAUCGGAAUUACUGGGCGUAAAGCGUGCGCAGGCGGUUAUAUAAGACAGGUGUGAAAUCCCCGGGCUUAACCUGGGAAUUGCAUCUGUGACUGUAUAGCUAGAGUGUGUCAGAGGGGGGUAGAAUUCCACGUGUAGCAGUGAAAUGCGUAGAUAUGUGGAGGAAUACCAAUGGCGAAGGCAGCCCCCUGGGAUAACACUGACGCUCAUGCACGAAAGCGUGGGGAGCAAACAGGAUUAGAUACCCUGGUAGUCCACGCCCUAAACGAUGCUGACUAGUUGUUCGGGAUUUUAUCCUGAGUAACGUAGCUAACGCGUGAAGUCGAGCGCGUGGUAGUUAGUUCGUGAGAGUAACGUUACGAGAGUAGAGGCGNGAGACGNGCGACGGACGACGACGAGGGAGGAGG
rnacentral:rRNA from 1 species